rnacentral:misc_RNA from 1 species
UCCCCAAAGGGGCAGUCCGGCCAGACACAAAUAACUGACCGUAGGGGUUGCGCUCGUUGCGGGACUUAACCCAACAUCUCACGACACGAGCUGACGACGGCCAUGCAGCACCUGUGUUCUGGUUCUCUUUCAAGCACUCCCACAUCUCUGCGGGAUUCCAGACAUGUCAAGGGUAGGUAAGGUUUUUCGCGUUGCAGCGAAUUAAACCACAUCAUCCACCGCUUGUGCGGGUCCCCGUCAAUUCCUUUGAGUUUUAAUCUUGCGACCGUACUCCCCAGGCGGGAUGCUUAAUGCGUUAGCUGCGCCACUGAAGAGCAAGCUCCCCAACGGCUAGCAUCCAUCGUUUACAGCGUGGACUAC